GCUGACUACAACAGGUGUAGUAGACCUUACAGUGAAAUGCUGAAUACAACAGGUGUAGGUAGACCUCACAGUGAAAUGCUGAAUACAACAGGCGUAGUAGACCUUACAGUGAAAUGCUGACUACAACAGGUGUAGUAGACCUUACAGUGAAAUGCUGAAUACAACAGGUGUAGGUAGACCUCACAGUGAAAUGCUGAAUACAACAGGCGUAGUAGACCUUACAGUGAAAUGCUGACUACAACAGGUGUAGUAGACCUUACAGUGAAAUGCUGAAUACAACAGGUGUAGGUAGACCUCACAGUGAAAUGCUGAAUACAACAGGCGUAGUAGACCUUACAGUGAAAUGCUGACUACAACAGGUGUAGUAGACCUUACAGUGAAAUGCUGAAUACAACAGGUGUAGGUAGACCUCACAGUGAAAUGCUGAAUACAACAGGCGUAGUAGACCUUACAGUGAAAUGCUGACUACAACAGGUGUAGUAGACCUUACAGUGAAAUGCUGAAUACAACAGGUGUAGGUAGACCUCACAGUGAAAUGCUGAAUACAACAGGCGUAGUAGACCUUACAGUGAAAUGCUGACUACAACAGGUGUAGUAGACCUUACAGUGAAAUGCUGAAUACAACAGGUGUAGUAGACCUUACAGUGAAAUGCUGAAUACAACAGGUGUAGUAGACCUUACAGUGAAAUGCUGAAUACAACAGGUGUAGUAGACCUCACAGUGAAAUGCUGAAUACAACAGGUGUAGGUAGACCUUACAGUGAAAUGCUGAAUACAACAGGUGUAGUAGACCUUACAGUGAAAUGCUGAAUACAACAGGUGUAGUAGACCUUACAGUGAAAUGCUGAAUACAACAGGUGUAGUAGACCUUACAGUGAAAUGCUGAAUACAACAGGUGUAGUAGACCUUACAGUGAAAUGCUGAAUACAACAGGUGUAGUAGACCUUACAGUGAAAUGCUGAAUACAACAGGUGUAGUAGAACUUACAGUGAAAUGCUGAAUACAACAGGUGUAGUAGACCUCACAGUGAAAUGCUGAAUACAACAGGUGUAGGUAGACCUCACAGUGAAAUGCUGAAUACAACAGGUGUAGUAGACCUCACAGUGAAAUGCUGAACACAACAGGUGUAGGUAGACCUCACAGUGAAAUGCUGAAUACAACAGAUGUAGGUAAACCUUACAGUGAAAUGCUGAAUUCAUUAGGUGUAGUAGACCUCACAGUGAAAUGCUGAAUACAACAGGUGUAGGUAGACCUCACAGUGAAAUGCUGAAUACAACAGGUGUAGUAGACCUUACAGUGAAAUGCUGAAUACAACAGGUGUAGUAGACCUUACAGUGAAAUGCUGAAUACAACAGGUGUAGUAGACCUUACAGUGAAAUGCUGAAUACAACAGGUGUAGUAGACCUCACAGUGAAAUGCUGAAUACAACAGGUGUAGUAGACCUCACAGUGAAAUGCUGAAUACAACAGGUGUAAUAGACCUUACAGUGAAAUGCUGAAUACAACAGGUGUAGUAGACCUUACAGUGACAUGCUGAAUACAACAGGUGUAGUAGACCUCACAGUGAAAUGCUAAAUACAACAGGUGUAGUAGACCUCACAGUGAAAUGCUAAAUACAACAGGUGUAGUAGACCUCACAGUGAAAUGCUGAAUACAACAGGUGUAGUAGACCUCACAGUGAAAUGCUGAAUACAACAGGUGUAGUAGACCGCACAGUGAAAUGCUGAAUACAACAGGUGUAGUCGACCGCACAGUGAAAUGCUGAAUACAACAGGUGUAGUAGACCUCACAGUGAAAUGAUGAAUACAACAGGUGUAGUAGACCUCACAGUGAAAUGCUGAAUACAACAGGUGUAGUAGACCUCACAGUGAAAUGCUGAAUACAACAGGUGUAGUAGACCUCACAGUGAAAUGAUGAAUACAACAGGUGUAGUAGACCUCACAGUGAAAUGCUGAAUACAACAGGUGUAUUAGACCUUACAGUGAAAUGCUGAAUACAACAGGUGUAGUAGACCUCACAGUGAAAUGCUGAAUACAACAGGUGUAGUAGACCUCACAGUGAAA